AGAGUUUGAUCCUGGCUCAGAACGAACGCUGGCGGCGUGCUUAACACAUGCAAGUCGAACGCGAAAAGGGACUUCGGUCCUGAGUAAAGUGGCGCACGGGUGGGUAACGCGUGGAUAAUCUACCCAAUGAUCUGGGAUAACAUCUCGAAAGGGUGCUAAUACCGGAUAAGACCACGGAGUCUCUGGAUUCUGCGGUAAAAGGUGGGGACCUUCGGGCCUACCGUCAUCGGAUGAGUCCGCGUACCAUUAGCUAGUUGGUGGGUAAUGGCCUACCAAGGCUACGAUGGUUAGCUGGUCUGAGAGGAUGAUCAGCCACACUGGAACUGAGACACGGUCCAGACUCCUACGGGAGGCAGCAGUGAGGAAUWUUGCGCAAUGGGGGCAACCCUGACGCAGCGACGCCGCGUGGAUGAUGAAGGCCUUCGGGUCGUAAAAUCCUGUCAGAUGGAAAGAAGUGCAUAGUGGGUUAAUACCGCUAUGUUUGACGGUACCAUCGAAGGAAGCACCGGCUAACUCCGUGCCAGCMGCCGCGGUAAUA
rnacentral:rRNA from 1 species